UUUUCUUGUCAGUCCCUUGUAUAUUAAACUGAUUUUUGGAAAAUGACGGAGUGCUAGGGGCUUGCUCCACCUCUGUCGCGGGUUGACCCGGUAUUGCAGUACCUCCGGGACCGGCCCACCUAAU
rnacentral:snRNA from 1 species